rnacentral:rRNA from 1 species
AUGACGAGUGCCACAACAUCCACAGCUAUGGCUCUCAUUGUUCUCGCCGCCAUGUCCUUCGAUGCCCUCCCCACCGCCCAUGCCGACGCCGACUUUAUUUCCCGCACAUGCAGGAAGACAAAUAACGCCACGGUCUGCUUGGCUAUGCUGAGCGCUAAUCCAAAGAGUGCCUAUGGCACCACCGAGCAUGACCUCACUAGCAUUGCACUGGAGAUCGCAAUCUCCAUCGUCUACAACGACAGGGUCAUCGCUGAGUUGGCCGAGGAAAAAGAGGGCACACCGGAGGAGGACACGCUACUUGUUUGCCACAAUGCCUACAUUGGCGCACACAACGACCUCGACCUACAAGCCCGCCUCGCCUUUGAGUAUGCGGACUAUGCCGGUGCCUCAAAGGUUGUGUCACUCGCAAAAGUCGUCGGCGAUGCAUGUGAGAAUGCGUUCAAGAGGAUCAACAAGAAGUCCCCUGUGACCGGCAUAGAUCAGCAGAUGACGGAGCAUUGUGGUGUCACCGCCGACCUCAUGGACGUGCUUGUCCCCAAGUAA